AAGAUUCUAGUUAGACUUUUGUACUUGAUCCUAAUCUGUUCUAAGGUCUUUUAGAACAAAUGUAACUCUCACUAUUUUCUCGAAUUCCUCACACUCCCCUGGUAGGAAAAUGGAAAUUCCACAUGACUAGGGUCUCUAGUGGGUACUGCGGUCCCAUCGAUUUACAUGCCACCUUACCUAACAGUUAUUGGUGACACAUAGAUUGAUGAAUGUACAACUCUUGUACAAUGCUUCUCAAGCAUGUUGCAGUGUAACUUGGUCUCUAAGCCAUGAAGACCUCACCUAACAGUUAUUGGUCCCAUUUCUUAGUUAAGUCAGACCCACUGUAUAGCCGUAGGAAUAAAGUCGUCAUUGGGUCCCCACCUAACAGUUAUUGGUGCCCAACCCCUCCUUUACCCUACAACAUCUCAUGUCUAUAGAGAGGUCCAGCCCCCAAUGCAACUUGACCACUGUAUCCAGCCGAGACAAAUCAACAUCAGAAAGGCCUUAGCAGCUCUACUACAGUG
rnacentral:lncRNA from 1 species